rnacentral:tRNA from 1 species
GGGCGUUUGGCGCAGCGGUAGCGCGCUUCCCUGACACGGAAGAGGUCACUGGUUCAAACCCAGUAACGCCCA